rnacentral:rRNA from 1 species
CCUACGGGUGGCUGCAGUGAGGAAUAUUGGUCAAUGGCCGCAGGGCUGAACCAGCCAAGUCGCGUGAGGGAUGACGGUCCUAUGGAUUGUAAACCUCUUUUGUCAGGGAGCAAAGGGCGCCACGUGUGGCGUUUUGCGAGUACCUGUCGAAACAGCAUCGGCUAACUCCGUGCCAGCAGCCGCGGUAAUACGGAGGCUGCGAGCGUUAUCAGGAUUUAUUGGGUUUAAAGGGUGCGCAGGCGGAAUGUCAAGUCAGCGGUAAAAUUUCGGGGCUCAACCCCGUCGUGCCGUUGAAACUGGCGUGCUGGAGUGAGCUAGAAGUAUGCGGAAUGCGUGGUGUAGCGGUGAAAUGCAUAGAUAUCACGCAGAACUUCGAUGGCGAAGGCAGCAUACCGGCGCUCAACUGACGCUCAUGCACGAAAGCGUGGGUAUCGAACAGGAUUAGAUACCCGUGUAGUC